UAGGGAAUAUUAGAAAUGGACGAAAGUCUGAUCUAGCAACACCGCGUGUGCGAAGAAGGCCUUCGGGUUGUAAAGCACUUUUUGGAAGGAUUAGGAAGGAAUGUACUUCCAGAAUAAGUCUCGGCUAACUACGUGCCAGCAGCCGCGGUAACACGUAGGAGGCAAACGUUAUCCGGAUUUACUGGGCGUAAAGCGCGUGUAGGUGGUUUGGUAAGUAGAGCGUGAAAGCUCCUGGCUUAACUGGGAGAGGUCGUUCAAAACUAUCAGACUUGAGAGUGGUAGAGGGAGGUGGAAUUCCGCAUGUAGUGGUGAAAUGCGUAGAUAUGCGGAGGAACACCAGUGGCGAAAGCGGCCUCCUGGCCCAUUUCUGACGCUCAGACACGAAAGCUAAGGUAGCAAACG
rnacentral:rRNA from 1 species